rnacentral:rRNA from 1 species
UACGUAGGGGGCGAGCGUUGUCCGGAAUGACUGGGCGUAAAGGGCGUGUAGGCGGCUUUUUAAGUCUGGAGUGAAAGCCCCAUUUUCAAGGUGGGGAGUGCUUUGGAGACUGGAGAGCUUGAGUGCGGAAGAGGUAAGUGGAAUUCCCAGUGUAGCGGUGAAAUGCGUAGAGAUUGGGAGGAACACCAGUGGCGAAGGCGACUUACUGGGCCGUAACUGACGCUGAGGCGCGAAAGCGUGGGGAGCGAACAGG